GCCGCCAUGGUGAAAUUGAGAACACG
rnacentral:tRNA from 1 species